GAUGAAGAACGUAGCGUAAUGCGAUAAGUAGUGUGAAUUGCAGAAUUUAGUGAAUCAUCGAAUCUUUGAACGCACAUUGCGCCCUAUAGUAUUCUGUAGGGCAUGCCUGUUCGAGCGUUAUUGAGACCUCAAGCUCUGCUUGGAAAUGGGCGCUUGUCUUGCCUUGCAGACUCGCCUUAAAACCAUUGGCAGCUGAUUUACAAUGUUUGGUGCACAGUACAUGAGCCCAAGUGUUGCAAUGAGUGGCCCAAAAGUAUACAAUAGAAGCUUAACCUCGGAUCAGGUAGGGAUACCCGCUGAACUUAAGCAUAUCAAUAAGCGGAGGA
rnacentral:misc_RNA from 1 species